GACUGCUCUGAUGGCCUAGUGGUUAGAGCAUUUGCCUCAGAUGCAGGAGGUCUUGGGUUCGAUUCCUGGCUGAGUCA